UAACCAUCCAAUUAUAAACCUUUACAUCCCCAUAGAGCUCACUACGGCCUAGUAAGGCCCCUCUCCAUUUCAGAGAGAAUGGUGGAUUGGUAAUGUUGACUGAUUUUCUUACAAACUCUGACAUUGUACUCUGACAUUGUUCUCCCCUAACAUGUGUAAUUGGUCGAGCCAUCAUUUUGGGAUCUGAGAGGCAGUUCCAACCGACGAAUGAACUGGAUCCCACUUAAAAGCGAAGUUUGCUCAGUUCAUCAAGGGUUAGGUUGGAGUUUUUUGACCACUUCAUCCAGAUGGCGGAGAGAGGCCCCUGGGAAGCUGUCCACCUGUACCUGGGCAUCCAUAAAGGCAGGUUCCCGGCGUGUGGCAAUCGACCCAGUGGGCAGGGUUGGUUUGACACUGCCCGAGAACUCCUGGUCUCUGGUCCUGGAGGGGACAUCCAAGAAAUUGCGUUUCUACAGGGGAGUGCAACAUUCGAAAGAAGGCAGUACAGUUCUCCCCUAAUAAUGGAGCCUCAGUUAAUGUGAAAGGGACGUUUCGAUGCGGGAGUCAACGGAACCUAGAGGAUGGAAGACUGUCUAGGAGUGCAUGGAGGCAAUCCCAUCCGGGAAGAAAAUAAAAGCUCAACAUGAACAAGGGGAGGAACAGAAACAUUCCUUUAGAGGGAACCAGAUUUAAAACAAGGGCUAAGGCCAGGGACUAAGAGGGUCUAAGGAACCCUCACACCCCUCUCCUGGAGUGAGGGAUGAGUUCAAGUUAAAUGACUGGUUAGGUAGAAAUUGGGGUUGAUUUAGGUACCUAGGGAAGUGACCGGUUAGGGUUACGGGAGAGGGGGUUAGGCACAGGGAGAAGGUUAAGUUUAGGUUUAGGGGAAAGGUUAAGGUUAGGAUUUAAACUGGGGUAAUGGUUAGACGGCAGACUCCAGGGUAAAUUGGGAUUAACAGUGUAUGAGGAAUUGUGGUUUGUGG
ensembl:lncRNA